CGUUCUCUAUUGAUGUAGGCCUGUGUCGUGUUCAGCUUUUGGUGACAAAAUAUUAGCACGGUGUUGGAGUACUCCCUCCAUAGUCCAUCCCAAAAAACACAAUUUUAAAACCUAGCUUGAAUACCAAGGGUAGAAGUAAAAUUACAAUAAUACCCUUGUGAAUGUUAAUUUCAAUCCAAUUCUCCUAUGUUAAGGUCUGAUUUAGUUCAAAAAAAUUCAAGUUUUUUCGUCACAUCAAAUUUUUAAACGCAUGCAU
rnacentral:lncRNA from 1 species